UGCCCGCUAACAAAUUGAAAACUGUACCUAUACGCCUUAUUUUAGUCCAGAUUUUUAGUAUUCGUAUUGUUAUCUUAGAAAGUUUUACUGAUUAAAAUGCUAUACAAUAGGUAACAAUUUGACAAUCUAGUAGUGUCAACCCUGUGAAUAUGACCCGUGUAUAUAGCAUAUUAAUCCUGAAUACACCGUUUGGUGGUGCGCCUGUCAGAUGCGGAACGUACAAAUAAGGUAAUAGGUACUGGUGAAUAUACUAUUGGUAUCGGUAUCGGACUCAACCCG
rnacentral:lncRNA from 1 species